CUUGUUCCUGUGUCGAUGAAGAUCGUAGAUGUCCGCCACAUUGUUGAUAAGUUUGAGGUCCACAAACAGCUCAGCGCUUGAAGGACCCAGACCUUCAAUGUCCAUUGCUUUCCUUG
rnacentral:rRNA from 11 species